UGAAAUUAAUCUCCCCGUGAAGAAGCGGGGAUACUCAUAUAAGACGAGAAGACCCCAUGGAGCUUCAAACCCAACUACACCCCUAGCUCUUAUAGCCCCACAACCCCCCCUAGGCGCCGUGUGCUUGGUUUUAGGUUGGGGCGACCGCGGAGUACAAUAAAACCUCCACAAUGAAUGGGAACACCCCCUUAUCUGAGGGCCACACCCCCUAAGAAUUAGAACACUAACAUAAAAUGAUCCAUUACUUGAUCAAUGAACCAAGUUACCCUGGGGAUAACAGCGCAAUCCAUUUCAAGAGCCCCUAUCGACAAAUGGGUUUACGACCUCGAUGUUGGAUCAGGGUACCCCAGUGGUGCAGCAGCUACUAACGGUUCGUUUGUUCAACGAUUAAAACCCU
rnacentral:rRNA from 1 species